GCUUCAUGGUUAUAUGUUAUGUGAUGCUACUCUAGAUGUGUUGAUGAUAAUUUAUCUAUUUUUGUUGGAUACUGAGAGGUUUGAGGCAGUACGCCCUGUCCUAAGAGAGAUGGCUCUUGCUGGUCUUGUUCACCUGGAUGCAAAGCAAGAAGCAAGUUACCCAACAUAUAUUUACUUUGUUGCUCAAAGUUGUAGGAAAGAGUGCUCCUGAAUUAUCUAAAGAAGCUGCUGGUGUUUGCUUAUGGUCAUUGAGUCAAAACACAGAUAUUUACAAAUAAUGGACAAGGUGUACUUAAAAAGCUGGCGAAUGAAUGAUUGCAGCACUCUACUAAAUAUUUUGAUCCUUUAAGGGAGUCUGUUAAGAUUUUAAGGCAGGAGAAAUACAUCAUCCCACGGCUUGCAAAUUUCUAUGCUAAUUCCUGGUUCUAUCAGAUAUCUAAGGAAAAACUUCCUGUGCAUAAAAGAUUUAAUGUUUGAACGCAAGGAUCACAUGGAGACUCAAAUGUUGCACACCCACCAUCCGAGCGGUCAUAUGUAGUGUACUUUUGAUUUAUUAAUGCAUGAUGUAACCUUUAGAUAGAAUUACACUGAUAGAAGUAGGUUGUUCAUUAUAUUUUCCUAGUGUA